UACGAGGGGGGGCGAGCGUUGUUCGGAAUUAUUGGGCGUAAAGGGUGCGUAGGCGGUUUGGUAAGUCUUAUGUGAAAUCUACAGGCUCAACUUGUAGUCUGCAUGAGAAACUGCCGGGCUUGAGUAUGGGAGAGGUGAGUGGAAUUCCUGGUGUAGCGGUGAAAUGCGUAGAUAUCAGGAGGAACACCUGUGGCGAAAGCGGCUCACUGGACCAUAACUGACGCUGAUGCACGAAAGCUAGGGGAUCAAACAGG
rnacentral:rRNA from 1 species